rnacentral:rRNA from 1 species
ACGGAGGGUGCAAGCGUUAAUCGGAAUUACUGGGCGUAAAGCGCGCGUAGGCGGCUUCGUCAGUCAGAUGUGAAAGCCCAGGGCUCAACCUUGGAAUUGCAUUUGAUACUGCGAGGCUAGAGUAUGGUAGAGGGGAGUGGAAUUUCCAGUGUAGCGGUGAAAUGCGUAGAUAUUGGAAGGAACACCAGUGGCGAAGGCGACUCCCUGGGCCAAUACUGACGCUGAGGUGCGAAAGCGUGGGGAGCAAACAGG